rnacentral:rRNA from 1 species
UACGGAGGGUGCAAGCGUUGUUCGGAUUUACUGGGCGUAAAGGGCGUGCAGGCGGUUUGGUAAGUCAGAUGUGAAAGCCCUGGGCUUAACCCGGGAAGUGCAUUUGAAACUGCCUUUCUUGAGUAUGGGAGAGGAGAGUGGAAUUCCCAGUGUAGAGGUGAAAUUCGUAGAUAUUGGGAGGAACACCCGUGGCGAAGGCGACUCUCUGGACCAAUACUGACGCUGAGACGCGAAAGCGUGGGGAGCAAACAGGAUUAGAUACCCGUGUA